rnacentral:rRNA from 1 species
AGAACGAACGCUGGCGGCGUGCCUAACACAUGCAAGUCGCACGAGAAAGGGGAGCAAUCCCUGAGUAAAGUGGCGCACGGGUGGGUAACACGUGAAUAAUCUACCUCCGAGUGGGGAAUAACUGAGAGAAAUCUUAGCUAAUACCGCAUAACACUUACGAGUCAAAGCAGCAAUGCGCUUGGAGAGGAGUUCGCGGCCGAUUAGUUAGUUGGCGGAGUAAUGGCCCACCAAGACGAUGAUCGGUA